UACGUAGGGACCAAGCGUUGUUCGGAAUUACUGGGCGUAAAGGGCGCGUAGGCGGUUGGAUAAGUCAGCUGUGAAAACCACGGGCUUAACUCGUGGCCUGCAGUUGAGACUGUCUGGCUUGAGUGUGGGAGAGGAGAGUGGAAUUCCUGGUGUAGCGGUGAAAUGCGUAGAUAUCAGGAGGAACACCGGUGGCGAAGGCGGCUCUCUGGACCACAACUGACGCUGAGGCGCGAAAGCUAGGGGAGCAAACAGG
rnacentral:rRNA from 1 species